AGGGGCGGAGCCAGGAUUUGAGUAUAGGGGGGGCCAAGCCAACUUAAGAAAAAAUCCGGCGAAAAAAAUCAAAUAAAACAAGGUUAGUAGGUAGCUCGAAAGCAAGCAGCUUAAAAACGAAUUAAUCUUAAUGAUGUUUGGCGGCGUUUUUUCUCUUCAUAACUGCUGAAUCGUAAAUGGCAAAUUGGCAAUCACAAAAUUAACUAUAUUGUAUAAGUUCGACGUAGAAAAUUUUGGCAUCACAGAUAGAUAAGGAAUCGUAUGACAUAAUUUGGAUCACAUUUAUAGGACAUGUAGAAGAUAUAAACUCUUUGUAGCAUCUCGAAUCACACAACAAAACAAGUAAAAUCUGAUGUAUAAUUUCAAUACCGAGAGAAGAUGAGACUUGGGACAUCUCGGAUCACACAACAAAACAAGUAAAAUCUGAUUUAUAAUGUAACACCAGGAGAAGAUGAGAAUAGGGAGAGAUUCGUAGAGUCUGAUGUGCUAACCUUGCUGGAGCAGCGAUUAAUCUUUCAGUAGGUUGAGAACUUGAAGCAACCAGUUUAAAAAAAGCAUUAAUCUUAAUGGUGUUUGGCCCUGCUUUUCUCUUCAUAGCUGUUGCCUGCAGAUUGGAUUGGAGUCAUGGAGAAUUAACAUACUGUAUAAGUUCGACAUAAUCGCAGAUAGGAACUAAUACAAGAUAAUGGAUAAUUUGCAUCACAAAAAUAAGAACCAUCCGGCGCACACAGUACAACACUAUCAUGAUAAUUGUGGACAUGUGGAAGAUGGGAACAGGGAACUCUUCAUAGAAUCAAAGACCACAGAAUCACAAAUUACACAACCAAAUUACCAAAGCAAAAAAAAUCUGGAGCACCAAUUCGACACGGAUACAUGAUAACAGGAUGAGAAUUGACUUGCUAGUUCGUUGAUUGAAACGGGACUGCAGGAAGAAUUGACAAGUGCAGCAGCCAUUUACCUGAAUAUGUGAAUCAGAUCGGCUGAUCCCUGAUCGAGAAUCAAGAGCAGGAGCCACCGAGCCAGGAGAUGAGGAGAAGCAGGCCUGGGUCCUGGACAGGAGCAGCCGAGCAGAGCAGGGCGAUGGGCGAGAAGGGCGAGAGGCGAACGGGGGCGAGGGCGUCGAAAACUGGAACGGCGGCGGCGACUAAUCCCAUGUAUACGCUAAUUAUGGAUGUACAGUUACGAGAAAGCUAGCCAGCUAGCCUAGAGCGGUAGAGCCAAUGCCCAUCAGCCGCUAUUAGUGGGCUUUUUUCACACAGGCCUUCUUUUUUCUUGCUGACGCUGAGAUAAUUAGGGGGGGCCAAAUACAUGCGUACCUGACUAUGUAUCGUCAAUUAUAUAGUAGGUACUUCAUGUUCGCUCUGCUCGCCCCCCCUUGUCUCCGCCACUGUCGGAGCUGCUGCGUGCUGGGUGGGGGAUGCGCGCUUGCGGCCCCUACGGCACGCUGGUGUCUGGAUCUGGUCCUCAGGGCCGAGUCUACCGUUGCUCAGCCGGAGGCGACGCGCCCUUGCACGCAGAAGGUUGGACGGCACGUGCGUGGUGUCUGGAUGCCGGGGCGGCGAACCCAGGGGAUCUCGACGGGGUUGCGCCAUCACGGCUGCGAGUGCAGCGUGGGGGUCGGCCAGGGACACCGGUGGCGGUGGAUCUGGGGUUCUCCCUGCCCAGAUCCGUUGG
rnacentral:lncRNA from 1 species